UACGAAGGGGGCUAGCGUUGCUCGGAAUCACUGGGCGUAAAGGGCGCGUAGGCGGCUUUCCAAGUCGGGGGUGAAAGCCCGUGGCUCAACCACGGAAUGGCCUUCGAUACUGGCAGGCUUGAGACCGGAAGAGGACAGCGGAACUGCGAGUGUAGAGGUGAAAUUCGUAGAUAUUCGCAAGAACACCAGUGGCGAAGGCGGCUCACUGGCCCGGUACUGACGCUGAGGUGCGAAAGCGUGGGGAGCAAACAGG
rnacentral:rRNA from 1 species